rnacentral:rRNA from 1 species
UACGUAGGGGGGCUAGCGUUGUCCGGAUUUAUUGGGCGUAAAGAGCGUGUAGGCGGCCAGGUAGGUCUGCUGUGAAAACUCGAGGCUCAACCUCGAGACGUCGGCGGAAACCAUCUGGCUAGAGUCCGGAAGAGGAGAGUGGAAUUCCUGGUGUAGCGGUGAAAUGCGCAGAUAUCAGGAAGAACACCCGUGGCGAAGGCGGCUCUCUGGGCCUUACCUGACGCUGAGGAGCGAAAGCGUGGGGAGCGAACAGG